GUCCUCAUUAUUUAUUAAUGGCCAGCAGCUCAAUAUGUAUAUGAACAUAUGCAUAUGUUGAGGAAGGAGCUUUCAUUAUGAGAAAUUUGGCCAUGAAAACUUAUAUUCAAUAAGCAGUUAUUAAACCUGAAGAUAUAUAUUCUUGUGACAAAAGCACGAGCAUGUCGGUACAGUGAAAACCCUCUUGGGCGGACAGCAAAAGUUGGUUAACUCUUGUCCGUUCAAGAGAAGUGUACGCACAAGAGAGCGACAAUGGGCGUGGCCGGACUUAAGAAGGUUUCAGAGAAAAUGUCAGUCUAAUAGAAGUAGUAUAAGAAUCGCAUAAAUAAAACUGUCAACAGUUUUUGCUCCGCAUACGAAAUGAGCAAAGUUUUAUAUACAGCACGAAAAAAAAGUACGUCAACCAAGAGAAAGUUUUAAAAGAUAUGUACUUAUCAG